CCGAAUGUUACCAAACAAACCACUGUGAACCGUCCCUUUAGCUGCUUCGGCGAGCGAUCCCAGGGCGGGAUCCCGGGCUCCUUACGGGGUGCUCGCCGGCGGCCACUUUCUAGCUCUGUUUCUAGCGGGCUUCUGAGUGUAAACAAAAAAUAAAUCA
rnacentral:misc_RNA from 1 species